rnacentral:rRNA from 1 species
GACGAACGCUGGCGGCGUGCUUAACACAUGCAAGUCGAACGGAAAGGCCCUGCUUUUGUGGGGUGCUCGAGUGGCGAACGGGUGAGUAACACGUGAGUAACCUGCCCUUGACUUUGGGAUAACUUCAGGAAACUGGGGCUAAUACCGGAUAGGAGCUCCUGCUGCAUGGUGGGGGUUGGAAAGUUUCGGCGGUUGGGGAUGGACUCGCGGCUUAUCAGCUUGUUGGUGGGGUAGUGGCUUACCAAGGCUUUGACGGGUAGCCGGCCUGAGAGGGUGACCGGCCACAAUGGGACUGAGAUACGGCCCAGACUCCUACGGGAGGCAGCAGUGGAGAGUAUUGCACAAUGGGCGGAAGCCUGAUGCAGCAACGCCGCGUGCGGGAUGACGGCCUUCGGGUUGUAAACCGCUUUCGCCUGUGACGAAGCGUGAGUGACGGUAAUGGGUAAAGAAGCACCGGCUAACUACGUG